UCUCAUCUAGUAAUGACAGUAUGAUUCCUUCCUUUAAAAAAAAAUGCUUCUCAAAAUUAAUUAUAUGUGCUAAACACUUCCAGUGUUCUAUAAAUCUCAAUUAUCUGGCCAGAAAACUUUGUAUUAAAGCAGCAGCCCCACAAAAACACUCAACAUCUGUAACACCUGUAAAAUCCUACAUCAGUCCAGUGAUGACAGGAGGAAAUCCAGUCUAGAAGGACAAUACUCCACACCUGAGAUAAUAUGAAGGCAGGCUCAAGCAAUGUAAAAAGACCAACAUCAUUCCUGUUUAAGA